UUUUUCACAAGCUUGAGUUAAUAUAGAGAACUGCUGUUCAGUGAACCCAGCUCAGUCAACACUUACAGAGACGGAAAGGAACAGGCUGCGAGGGAGAACCUGAGACCUGGAAGCUGCAGACUUCACCCAUGCCAUCCCCAGCCCACCUUAUCCAGGACCACAGGUGGUUUUGCUCAACUUGAGUUCAUCUGUCUUUGGAAUUUCCUUCUUGAAACAGACUCUGGUCACAGCCCAUUGUACCGUCCAGCCUGUGAUGACCCAUCUUCACUGUCACCUUGACAGACUUUAGAGUCCUCAAGGAGACAAAGCUCUGGGCGUGCCCGCAAAGGUGUCUCCAGAGAGGCUUAAUUAACUGAUGAGGGAAGACCCACCCUGAGUGCAGCGGGCACCAUGCUCUGGGAUAGUGUCUUAGAUUGAACAAAAUGGAAACUGGAAGAAUCUGGAUGAACACCUGGGUUUCUUUGCUUCCUGACCCACAGGAAGGGGAACAAGUUCUUGCCCCUCUCCAUGUUCUGCCCCUCCAUGAUUGAGUGUGUGUCUUGAGCUGUGAGUCAAAAUAAAUCUUUCCUUCAA
ensembl:lincRNA Gm29336 predicted gene 29336